rnacentral:rRNA from 1 species
UACGGGGGGGGCAAGCGUUGUUCGGAAUUACUGGGCGUAAAGGGCUCGUAGGCGGCCAACUAAGUCGGAUGUGAAAUCCCCAGGCUUAACCUGGGAACUGCAUCCGAUACUGGAUGGCUUGAAUCCGGGAGAGGGAUGCAGAAUUCCAGGUGUAGCGGUGAAAUGCGUAGAUAUUCGGAGGAACACCAGUGGCGAAGGCGGCUCACUGGUCCGGUACUGACGCUGAGGUGCGAAAGCGUGGGGAGCAAACAGG